rnacentral:rRNA from 1 species
CAUGCAAGUCGAACGGUAGCACAGAGAGCUUGCUCUUGGGUGACGAGUGGCGGACGGGUGAGUAAUGUCUGGGAAACUGCCCGAUGGAGGGGGAUAACCACUGGAAACGGUGGCUAAUACCGCAUAAUCUCGCGAGAGCAAAGUGGGGGACCUUCUGGCCUCACGCCAUCGGAUGUGCCCAGAUGGGAUUAGCUUGUUGGUGGGGUAAAGGCUCACCAAGGCGACGAUCCCUAGCUGGUCUGAGAGGAUGACCAGCCACACUGGAACUGAGACACGGUCCAGACUCCUACGGGAGGCAGCAGUGGGGAAUAUUGCACAAUGGGCGCAAGCCUGAUGCAGCCAUGCCGCGUGUAUGAAGAAGGCCUUCGGGUUGUAAAGUACUUUCAGCGGGGAGGAAGGUGAUGAGGUUAAUAACCGUAUCAAUUGACGUUACCCGCAGAAGAAGCACCGGCUAACUCCGUGCCAGCAGCCGCGGUAAUACGGAGGGUGCAAGCGUU